rnacentral:rRNA from 1 species
UACGGAGGGGGUUAGCGUUGUUCGGAAUGACUGGGCGUAAAGCGCGCGUAGGCGGAUCAGGAAGUUGGGGGUGAAAUCCCGGGGCUCAACCCCGGAAUGGCCUUCAAAACUCCUGGUCUUGAGUUCGAGAGAGGUGAGUGGAAUUCCGAGUGUAGAGGUGAAAUUCGUAGAUAUUCGGAGGAACACCAGUGGCGAAGGCGGCUCACUGGCUCGACACUGACGCUGAGGUGCGAAAGCGUGGGGAGCAAACAGGAUUAGAUACCCCCGUAGUCC